rnacentral:sRNA from 1 species
CUAUCUUCUUCCUCUUCU